UCAGUCUUUCUCUUCUUCCUGGGUGAGCGGUGGCCUCAGUGAGUGGCUGAGCAAACUUCCCUGCCCCACAAACUUGGGGCUUAGUUGUGAGCCUCACCUUGGACAAUGGAGUGGGGGGGGACAGCCCUUGUCCACACUGAGGCUUUCUACAUGCUUAGAACACUUGUGGAUGGCCUGCUACUUCCAGGGGAUCAUCACUACUUCAGCCACAGGAGCUGUGGACACAGCCUGCAUGCCCUGGGCCCACCCAGCUGUGCCUUGCCGAGUUGGCAGACCCACAGACCCUGGUGUCCUGCCUCCCCCUUGUAAGUCCUGCUUUGUGACUGAAGACACAGCUCUCUCUUUGACCCAGAGGAAGAGCCUGGUGGAGGGAGGCCCACAUGUGAUGAUCAUCCUGCUUCGAGAAGGGCGCUUUAUAGGUUUGGAGGAAUGUAGGCUUUCCUACAAAGAACAGCAUAUCUCACUGCAAAAAGAAAAACACAGAGAAUAGAGGACAAUUGGUGGAAUUUACAACAACGCCCCCAUUCGAGGUCAUCAGAAGGAUUGUCACACGUCGCUGUCACACUCACCAGAGCCACUGUCCCAGGAUGUGUGUGUGUUACUGAGCCACUCUCCAGGGCCACGCACUCAUGCUGUCCUGGCUUUCCCAGGAGAGAUCUUGUCUUGUGUGUCUCGUGUCUUGUCUGUCUGUCUGCCCUGGCAUGCUGGCAGGGCGAGGCCUGGAAACAGGAGGUGUGCACCUGGGGUCCAGGGCCUCAGCGGGAGUCCCAGCUCCCCACCACGGGCGUGUGGCUUAUGAAGUCACCAAUGCCACUUUCCAGCUCAGCAAGGUGCAGAUGUCUGUGGUGAGGCCCUAUCAGGUGGGAGGCCUCCCCUGGGCCGGGACAGUGAGGAGCUCGGCCACCAGACCACAUGCCCAGCACAUUGGCUGGUGUCAGGCUGUUGUGGCAAUAGAGUCCUUGUCCAUGUGACUACUGGCUUCCGGGCGAGGCCUAGAGCCAAAGGACGGACCCCAGCCCCAGUGCUCCUGGGGGCUCCCAACAGAGUUCUCUUUACUUUCCAAGGACUGUGCCAGGCUGCCCCACCCAGCGAGCCCAGCCCACCCUCCCUGCUGUGGGCCAGAGUGGUAGGCAGAGCCUUUCCAGUGUGC